rnacentral:rRNA from 1 species
UACAGAGGGUGCGAGCGUUAAUCGGAAUUACUGGGCGUAAAGCGCGCGUAGACGGUUUUAUAAGUCAGAUGUGAAAUCCCUGGGCUCAACCUGGGAACUGCAUUUGAUACUGCAUGGCUAGAGUAUCGAAGAGGGAAGUGGAAUUUCCGGUGUAGCGGUGAAAUGCGUAGAUAUCGGAAGGAACACCAGUGGCGAAAGCGACUUCCUGGUCGAAUACUGACGUUCAUGUGCGAAAGCGUGGGGAGCAAACAGG